UCUUUAUUUUAAAAAUUUUUAUUAUUUGAGUAGUUGUGAAUGGUUGGUUUAUAGAAAGUAAUAAUUAGGUAUAUGUUAGAAUGUUUGAAACUUAAAAGGCUUGGCGGUGUUAUAUAUCCUUCCAGGGGAGCUUGUUUAUUGAUUUGAUAAUCCUCAAUUUAUACUUACUUUUUUUUGAAUAAUUGAAUCAGUUUGUAUAUUGCUGUCGUCAGUUUAUUUUGUAAAAAUUUUAUAAUAAACUUAAUAAUGAAUUGGUUAUGAUGUCAAGUCAAAAUGCAGCUUAUAAAAAAGGUUUAUAAAGUGAGCUACAAUUUAUAAUUUUUAAAUCGGAUUGAAUUAUGUAAUUUGGUUUAUGAAGGUGGACUUGGUAGUAAUAUUAUAGUAGUGAGUUUUUAUGAAUUAGGUUUUAUAACGCGU
rnacentral:rRNA from 1 species